AAGCCUGCACUGAGUUACCUGUUCAGGUGACACACUGACCGGUCUGUGAGUGUGCAGGUAAGACUGAAACAUUCAUUCUUAUAGCAUUGUUUAUGCUGUUUGUAUUGACCAGUUGUCUUUUCAUUGUUUGGGAAUAUAGCGUUAGCAUUAGCAUUGGCUAGCUAACAGUCGUGUUUACAGGUAACGUUAGCAUUAAGUAAGUGGUUAGCUUCUCUGAGUAAAACCUCCUCAGCUCCAAAUCCGUUCUGUCUGGCCCUCUACAGUAUGGACCAGGUCUUCUUUGACCCGGUCUGAACACUGCUGUGUUGUGACUCUGUACUGUAAGUUAGCCCUGCUUCUGCACCUCAAUUUACCUGUCUGAGACAGUAAAUGGCUCUUCAUCCAAAAUACCAGGUCCUGGAUCAGAGGUCCUCAAACUGGCCCUCUGAUCCAGGACGCAGGCCUGUAAUUGUUUUUUGUCUGUUGACACUGACGCUGUGUUUAACUUGGACAUACACAUGGACAUAGACCGUUCUGGUGGUGUUAUCGGUUUUUACUGAACGUGGCUUCCUGCUGUGGUCUCAUCGUGUUUCCGGCUCAGAUAAAAUCAUCUAAGUAAAACAAAUCUCAGCUCAUUGUGUCUGCAGGAGGCAGGAGGAGGUAAAAACUACACCUCAGCCCCACCUCACAGGAGGGAGGAGGAGUCUGCCAUCAGCUGCAUGGAGCAGGCCUCCUCCAGGAGUCAUGUGCUGAUCAUGUGACUUAUGUGCUUAUUUCCAGAGUUCCUUCCUGUCACGUUUGAAUUGGUUUUAUGUUUAAAUGUUUCUUUGUAGACAAUAAUCACCAAAUGUUUGUAUGUGUUCUGUGUGUCGGUGACGGGUCCUGGUUCAAAGCCCAUUCAGAUCUACAGGGACGACGGCGAUGGGUGAUGACAUCAGACCCAGCAGGACCUCCCGGCUCUGUCAGGGCUGCUCUGUCUUUGUGUGGCGUCCUCCCUGAAGUGUCCUCCAGGUGAGGGCGAGUGGAUUGUCUGGCUGCCACCACCAGGUGCGUCACACCUGUGCUCACUGACUCCCUGCCUGUGGACCAGGAGCAGAACAGGUGGCUCAGCGUGUCGGCGGCGUGUUGGAUCCUGUUAGUUCAUCAGACUCAUCAAGCUGUUCUUCGCCAUCGUCAGCAGCAGAUCUGCGUUCUUCCACUCGUGAGGACGAGUUGGAGGCGAUCGUCAGUGACGUCUGCAGAGGUCGUCCCAACACGCAGGACAAGCUGACAUCCAGAAAUAAUCUGAUUGGACGGCGGAAACCUCAGUGGGAGGAGCUAAAGUUAAUCUACAGACAGUUUGAGAAGCGGAGCGACAUCUGAUCGAUUCCUUCGGCUCCACCCACUGAGGUUUGACUCGUCCACCAGAGCAGCUCCACCGCUUCACGACUGACGUACGACGUGGUGAGACAGACGGACAGACGUGAACCAGGACGUGGACAGACGGACAGACAGGACGGGAGACGUCUCUGAGGAGUGGGCUGGACGUCGACACCACCGCAGCAUCGUGUUCUGGUCUCUAACGUCUUCUUACGAGCAGGCACGGCAUCUAACGAUAACAUUUAUUUACACAUUAAAAUUCACAUAUUAUUAUAGUACCUUAUUUUAUAAUUAACUCUACUUUAGAGUGGAGAUAUAUUUCAAUAUGGCAGGAGAGCUCAGUCCUGAAGAGAAAACAAAACUUGGCAUUUGUAGCGUUUUGAAACAAGCUGAAGAGGAGGAGGAGGGCGAGGAAGGCAGACCCUUUUCUCAGUUCAUUCCUCUCCUCUCCACAGGAAGUCCUCGUCUACAUUAUCGUCUCGUUUGGCUUUCACAGAAAGCGUCACACCGGGCUGGAGGAAGAGGAGGAGGAGAAAGGAGUCCAUGUUCGUUUCCCCGCUGCAGACAGACUGAAGAUGGAGGAAGGAGGAAGGAGGAGGAGGAGGAGACGCACAGUUCAGCCCUGAGGCGGGUCCUUUUUUUAAUCUCCCAACUUCUCCUCCUCUUCCUCCUCCUGAUGAAGAGCGAUGUACCGGGCCUGGGGAAGCCGGUCCGAUCAGGUCGAACGUGUUCUGGGUUCGGGUGAAUCCGGCGGCCGUGGGAAGAGGAGGAGGAGGAUGAGGAGGGCGGUCAGAUCUUGAUGUCCUGGGACUCCACCAUCUUGGCGAGCGUCUUCUUCACUCUAAGGAUGGUGAGGCGGGAGGCGGGGUUAUGAGCCCAGCACUCUGACAUCAGCUUCAGCAUGGCCCGAAGGCACUGCGGACACACACACACACACACACACACACACACACACACGGUUAAAAAAACACUUAUAGACGACAGGAAGUCGUCUGAACGACCACAGAAACCCUCUGUCCCACUUUAAGAUAAGAUAAAGAUAAGAUAAUGCUUUAUUGAUCCCACAGGAGGACGGGGGCUCCUGACUGCUGAUCACAUCAUGGAGCUCAGAUUUAACAGUCCUGUGGUUCAUCCUGAUACUUUCACCGGAGAUAAAACUGCCCCGUUUAGCAUUUAGCUUGAAGCACCACCGUGCCUCAGUACAGCGACAAUAUUUAUUUUCUACAUAUUAUUUCUGAUAAAUUCUUCUUCAUUUUAGCUGUUUUUUCAUUAUUAUUGUUUCGUCUAACUCGAGCCCUUACUGUCGCAACUCUUAAAUUGAAUAAAUUGUUUUCAGUUUUGUCUUUUA